CUAUAAAUGAGAUUCACAGACAAGAGGCGUUUGUUUCCCCGAUCGUUUGUUUAAAUAACUCAACACAAAUAUCCAUUAUAAGAUUAACUGGAACCUGUGCUUGUCUUUUCGGAGUUAUAAAGCUCCACAACAGAUUGCGGCCAUAACGUAAACAAGC